CUUAAAAAUCUAAACCCCCAUCUCUCCCUCUCUUUCCCUUUCUCCACCGCCCUACCCUCGCCUACAUCGGCACCAGCCAUAUCCGUCGCCACCCAACCAACUCCGAUGUCCAGUACGCCGUCACCAACAUCUAUUCCAGAUUCAAUUUCAACAAUCACAGGCUGAGUUAUGCAGCAAUCUUCCACCUGACACAGAGCCUACAGAUGAACAAAUGAAUGAAUUAUGGAUUGCGACUAUUGGUGGCCUCACUAGGUUUGGCAUAACUUAUGGAGUAGCAAAUAGAACAUUUCAUAAAUUCUAAUCGCCCCUGCAAGGCAUAGGUUCUUCUAAUGAUGUCGGGUCGUCAGAUAGAGUGAGUGUUAUGGCCAUGGAGCAGAAGAUUGUUGAGCUAUCUAUCAAGUUAUAGGCCUCGGAGGCUAAGGAUAGGUAGAGGGAUGAGAAGCUACAGGCUGCGGAGGAUAGGGAGAGACGGAGAGAUGAGCAAUUUGUGAGUAUGAAAGCUCAAUUAGACUCAUUACUUUCUUCGAGGGGGAUCCCCCUUGUCCUGAUGAUGCUCGUAGCUCCAAGGGCCGACCUCCACAUUCUCGAUCUAGGUCAUGACAUCGAGAGAUUAGUCAAGAACACCAACUUGUAGAUGAGCCAAGUAGUGGUGAUGAUGAUUGAGAGCACGUGUCAAACACACAACGGCAUGGUUGAAUUUUAAGUGUCUUACUAACUUAUGAAUUUUUUGGUUGAUUUGUAAAAAUGUGAAAGUGUUUGGUGGAUGUUUGUGAAUGUUGAAGUAGUUUGAUGUUGUAGACUAACUUAAUGUAGACUAGUAUAAUGUUUUGUGGA